rnacentral:rRNA from 1 species
GAUGAACGCUGGCGGUGUGCCUAAUACAUGCCAGUCGAGCGAACAGACGAGGAGCUCGUUCCUUUGACGUUAGCGGCGGACGGGUGAGUAACACGUGGAUAACCUACCUAUAAGACUGGGAUAACUUCGGGAAACCGGAGCUACUACCAGCUAAUAUAUUGAACCGCAUGGUUCAAUAGUGUAACCUGGCUUUGCCGUCACUUAUAGAUGGAUCCGCGUUGCAUUAGCUAGUUGGUAAGGUAACGGCUUACCAAGGCAACGAUGCGUAGCCGAUCUGAGAGGGUGAUCGGCCACACUGGAACUGAGACACGGUCCAGACUCCUACGGGAGGAAGCAGUGGGGAAUAUUGCGCAAUGGGCGAAAGCCUGAUGGAGCAACGCCGCGUGAGUGACGAAGGUCUUCGGGUCGUAAAACUCUGUUAUUGGGGAAGAACAAAAGUGUAAUUAACUAUGCACGUCUUGACGGUACCUAAUGAGAAAGCCACGGCUAACUACGUG